CACACACACACACAGAGUCUGAUUUCUGUCUUCCAACUCUGAAGAUGGAAAUGAAAAUAGCAAAGUAGAGAGGUUGUCCGGGAAAGUUAGCACGGUACUUGGCACACGGUGUCUUGAUUUUGUUCUUGUUGCUGUUAUUGUCGUUGGACCCCAGACCCCAGCAGCUCCUUCCUCCUCCACGCACAGCCUGCUCCUCCCAUCCUCCAUCUCCCUCCUAACGAACCAGACUGAUAAAAAUCUGUGUCCCUAAUGCCUGUGUUUUUUGAAAAAGCUAGAAAGAGCAGCUGGUGUUUUUGCAGUGUGUCUUCCCCUCCCAUAUUUGACCUAGAUGGGACCACUCACUCACUGUAGAGAAAACAUUCCUAUUCCGUGUCAGAAGAAGAAAUGUCAAGUGACUCUACACACAAAGACAAAGCUGUCCCUGGAGAAUGCUGAAGGGGAGGCCAAGGGCUUUGCGGAACAGGUAACGCGAGGCUGCUGUCUCAGCAGAGCUCCCUGAGGUGCAGCCGCAGGCCUGCGCUUCUCCAUGGUACUCAGGUCUGCAGCGCUCCAGCAGGCUACCUACUACCCGUCGGUAGCUACCACACUCAAGGGGAUGUGGGAUAACAGAUCACCAGAGACCUGCCUCGGAGACAGUCCCUGAAAAACAACCCAAUUUACACACAGUCUGCUUUUUAGUUUGCCGUCCUAUGAGUGUUGACAGAUGCAGCCAUGUAACCACCAUCACGGUUUCCCUCUGUGCCCUGGCACUAAUCUCGCCUUCAGCCCUAACCACUGACCACCACUGCUCCCGUUCUCUUCUUGGAGCUUCUCCUUCCAGCUGAAUAAUCUCCCAGCUGAGGAAGAUCUGUGGAGUUUGAGGAGCCAGAGGACAUAAGUUCCAGCUUCAGUGGACAUCUGCUCCUGAGAACAGCUGCCCAUCACACGGCAAGACCCAGAGGCUCCAAAUGCUGGAUUUAGAAGCUUUGGGUCUAGUAUGAAACUCAAGAAUCUGUAUACAUAAAAAAAAACAUGCAGGAACGUUUGACAGGCUAUGGGAAUAUUCUUCACGCACAUGGUAAGAUGGAUAUGGGGGAUCUGUCAAAAUUUAUUUAACUGCCUACCUUAAAAGGGGUGCAACUUAUCGAACAUAAGAUCUACCUCAGGAAGAAGAAAGUGAGCCAACAGGUGUGGUGGUUCACGCUCUCUCUGAUACAGGGGACUCCACAGCUUGUGGCUGCCCAUGGAGCCUCUCCAGGCUCCUGGAACGGGAGGCAGAAUGGGCACACUCUCAUCUGGGUUGAGGCUGAAAUGGUCCAGAGAGCCAGGUAAAGCCAGCAGCUCCCAUAAGGCUCUGGGUGUGAUGCGAACAAAGACAAAGCUGGUGAAGAAUUGUGAUUGAUUGGUCCUGGCCUUGUGCAUCACAGCGGUUCCUGAUCAUCCUUCAGGGAUUUGAUUCCCAGUGCUGCGGAAACUGUAUUACAUUCUUGUAAUAAUAGCACUUGGUGGGGGGGGGGGUGUGUGAAGCAGAAGGAUUAGCAGUUCAGGGUCAUUCUUGGCUACUUAGAGAGUUUAGAUCAGCCUAGAUACAUGACGGCCUGUCUCAAAAACAAACCAAGACACAGCAAUUAAGGGGAAUAACGUUUUAACUUGUAAGGGUGUGGAUGGACCAGUCAGCAGGUUCCUGGGGUUGAGAUGGGGACUACAGUAAGCUGAAGAACAAGCACCUGGGAACGGAGCCUUCUGGACCACACUUUUGCCCUACUGAGGCUCCACACGGUGGUUGAGCCUGAACCUUCUAGGUUGAUGAUACUCUUGUCAUUCCCAGUUAACAGGUAAGGAAAUCAAGAUUCAGAAAGAUUCAGCUAAUGGUUCUAAGUCCCAAAGAAAGGAUGUAGGAGCCUUCACCCCCGCCACACACACACACCCUGAGCCCUAUGUAGCACCACGCCACCUCCCCCAAAAUAAGAGAAGCCACCUGGUAAUCAUGAAAGAUUUUCACAAGAAGGGUGGGUGUGGGUAUAAGCUGUGUCCCUGCCCCCUAGAAGGUAUCCAAGUCCUCCUUGUGUGUGGUUUGAGCGGCUUCCUACGAGAAGGAUCUCAGACCCAGAGGAAGAGGAAUUUGGAGCCUCACAGUGCAAACAGAGGUAGAGGUUCCAGCCGGCAGCACUUGCCUGGAUCUUCUAAGAAUCUCACAGCAGCACCACAUGUCCUCGCCUUAUCCAAGCAACAGAAGGAGGUGGUGGAGGCAGCAGCAGCAGCAGCUACAGCAAAUCUGUCCCCCUUGCUCCGCAGGGCUGUUUUGCUCUCAUGAAACACACAUGGCAGAUGGUUGUGAAGUUACUAUCUUGAGAGCUGAUAGAAAUGAGAUUUUUUUUUUCUUGUGCCAGAUCUCAUUUCCUUUUGAAACAAUUCUUGUAGUAAACAGAGGUUUUUGAUCUUGUUAAGAUCCAAGGAUGGGGAUUCCUUUACAUAUUUUAACUAUGAAUAUUUUCUUGAAGAGUUAUAAUCUGUUGAUGGAGAAUGCUUUUGGGUUGUUGUUUUGUCUGUCUGUCUGUCUGUUUGCUUGUUUGAGACAGGGUUUGUAGCUCAGGCUGACCUGGAACUAUGUAGCCUAGACUGGCCUUAAAUGCUUGGUAGGUAAUUCUCCUGUCUCAGCUUCUAUAAAGCUGUGAUUACAGACUCAGAUCACCAUACAUAUGCACACACACACACACACACACACACGUAUGUUCAUUAUGUGCAUGCAGAAGCCUCAGAGAAUAGAAGAGGGCGUCAGAUUCUCUGGAACUGGAGUUACGGCAGCUGUGAGUUACUGUGUGGACGCUGGCAGCUGAGCACGUUUCUUCAAGAGCGUCCAGUAUUCUUAAACCCUGAGCCACCUCUCCAGCCUAGGGUGUGUUUUUUGUUUUGUUUUGUUGAAAUGGGGUCUCCUCAUGAAGUCAGAGUUGGCCUUCAUAUAUAGUCAAGACUGGCCUUAAACUCUCUAUAUAACCAAGGUUGGCCUUGAACUCCUGAUCCUUCUGCAUUAGCCUCCCACUGUUCUGGGAUUACGGGUAUUCACCAUCAUGCCCAGCUGGUGCUAUUUUGCUGGUGGCCAGGAAAGGAAGAGACACUGCCACUACCAGAGACCAAUUUCGGCUACAAACCACAGUGGAUACGCCCUCCAUAUGUUUACCUGUGGCUACCAUCUCUUGGCAAAUGGGCCAGCGAGAAUGAAAACCUUGCUGAGUGUAGGAGGUCCCAGGCAGAGGCGACAUGGAAGGACCAAGAAGUGGGUAGAUUGUGACUUGCAUGAGAAGAAUUAUUUUGAAUCAAGCCUUGCAUGCUGACAGCGUAAUGAUUAUUAUUAGAGCCUCAGAUAUAACAUGAAGCCCGCCCUAAAGUUAAAUUUUCCUUUUCAGAGAAGUGUGGCCUGCCAGCCCUGUGUAAGACGACGAUACUAUGCCAACCUCCUCCACAACACGGGACUAGAAGGGCUCCAGCUAUUUCCUUCCUGUGCCUUCUCAAAGCCCUUUGCUUCUUGGAUGGGAGCUGGUGAGAUGGCUUGGUGUGUAAAGAAAGUGCUAGCGGUCCUGGCACGGAGACCUGAGUUUGCAUCCCCGUGUAAAGAUGGAUGGAGGAGCACACAUCUGUAGUUCCAGCACGCCUACAGUGAGACAGGAGGCAGCCACGGAGGCUCGUGGGCCAGCUAACCUGGUCUGCAUGGGAGAACGUCUGCAGCCCCAUCUCAAACAAGGUGGAAGAUGAAGACCGACCAUGGAGGACUGCCUCUGACCUCCACAUGGCAAACACACACAAGAGAGAGAGAGAGAGAGAGAGAGAGAGAGAGAGAGAGAGAGAGAGAGAGAGAACAGAAAUCUGAGUGGGACAUGGUAACCCCUGAGAGAGAGGGAGACAGGCAUAGGAAGAUCAACAGUUUGAGGCCACCCUGCUCUACAUCCUGAGUUCCAAGCCAGCUAGGGCUAACCUGUUAAGAACCUGUCUCAAAAAGACCAUAACAAAUCAGAGAGCCUGGCCACACCGAGCCAUGUUCCCCAUGACAAACUGCUACUACUUGAAUAGAGUCGUUGCUUCCUUUCCAUAAAGCUUUUUCCCUGCUUCACGACGGACGCUACCACCCCCUCUCCCCAUCAUCUCCCGCCCACAGGCUAGAAGUAAGUUCAAGCUAAAGGCAGAUAUGGGCCUGUGGAUUUCAGCCUCAGUCCUGCCACUUAAUCUCCAUGUUCCCCUGAACAGAAAUUUGCCUCUCUGUCUUUUGAGACGAGGGUCACAUGUUUCCCAGGCUGGUUUCAGAUUCGGUACUCGUCAGAAUGUCAGAUGAUGGCCUUGAACUCCUGAUCUCUCCACUUCCCCAGUGCUGACUGGCUAAAAUAUUUUCCUUGUUGCUACAUCUCCAGAGCCUGAUAUAACCCCUGACCCAUGGUAGUUAUCAGCAAAUGUAUGAGAUAUGUGAUUCUAAUGCCUCCCUAA